UUGGCAUUGACUGCUGUGAGGCCCAGCGACCCAAGGCCAUUCCUGGUUGAGAGAACCAAAUCAUUCACUCCUUCCUUACUUCUUUCAGUUCUUUGAAACAUGUGUUCAUCCAUUCAUUCAUCAAUCUCAGCUGACUUCCUCUGUGACUCUCAGAGGUAAUGAAAGAGAGUCUACGAAAACUUAAAUCAUUUGCCACAGCUCACAGAACCAGCAAAUCAGACAGGGACACAGACAAAACUCUGCAGAUUCCAAGCGUUUUUCUCUUCACUAGGCCCGGUAUCUCCUGGUAGGAGAAAUUUGUUAGGAUUGAUGAAUUAUUUCACCAAGCAGGCACUUGAAGAGACCUCUUCCAUUCCAGACACUGUCACAUGUGAACUCUGGUUGCCUGUGCCCAUUUUACUCCGGUAGGUACCUUCUAGUGGGAUCCAGACAAUGCCUAGAGAUUCAUGGGUCAUUUGGACUCAAAGGAACAUUGGAGAAUUAAUAGUAUUAAUAAUACAACUAGGGGAUCCCUGGGUGGCUCAGUGGUUUAGCACCUGCCUUCGGCCCGGGGUGUGAUCCUGGAGUCCCGGGAUCGGGUCCAGCAUCGGGCUCCUUGCAUGGAGCCUGCUUCUCCCUCUGCCUGUGUCUCUGCCUCUCUCUC